CACGUAGGGUGCGAGCGUUGUCCGGAAUUAUUGGGCGUAAAGAGCUCGUAGGCGGCUUGUCGCGUCGUCCGUGAAAACCUGCGGCUCAACUGCAGGCUGGCGGUCGAUACGGGCAGGCUGGAGUUCGGUAGGGGAGACUGGAAUUCCUGGUGUAGCGGUGAAAUGCGUAGAGAUCGGAAAGAACACCAACGGCGAAAGCACUCUGCUGGGCCGACACUGACACUGAGAGACGAAAGCUAGGGGAGCGAAUGGG
rnacentral:rRNA from 1 species